GAUGAACGCUAGCGGCAGGCUUAACACAUGCAAGUCGAGGGGCAGCGGGGAUGAAGCUUGCUUUAUCUGCCGGCGACCGGCGCACGGGUGGGUAACACGUAUGCAACCUACCCUAUGCAGGGGAAUAACCACGGGAAACCGUGCCUAAUACCGCGUAACGCACUGAUUGGGCAUCCGAUUGGUGUCAAAGGAGCAAUCCGGCAUAGGAUGGGCAUGCGGCGCAUUAGCUAGUUGGCGGGGUAACGGCCCACCAAGGCGACGAUGCGUAGGGGUUCUGAGAGGAAGGUCCCCCACACUGGUACUGAGACACGGACCAGACUCCUACGGGAGGCAGCAGUGAGGAAUAUUGGUCAAUGGGCGCAAGCCUGAACCAGCCAAAGUCGCGUGAGGGAAGACGGCCCCUAACGGGGUUGUAAAACCCUCUUUUUGUCGGGGGAGCAAAUUGAUGACGCGUCAUCAGGUGAGAGUACCCGAAGAAAAAGCAUCGGCUAAACUCCGUGCCAGCAGCCG
rnacentral:rRNA from 1 species